GGCUAACACUGGGCAAGCAGGGGAGGUAUGACGGUGGGUCCGUGGGGUACUGUGAAUUUCUGGUGGGAGAGUGGUCGCAGGCUGUUUGGGAAGAGUGGUUUGAAAGCCCUUGUCUCAACCUAGGAAUAGCAGUUCGAACUGGCGAACUAGAGUCUUGUAGAGUGGGGUAGAAUUCGAGGUGUAGCGGUGAAAUGCGUAGAUAUAGGAAGGAACACCAGUGGCGAAGGCGACCACCUGGACUGAUACUGACACUGAGGUGCGAAAGCGUGGGGAGCAAACAGGAUUAAUACCCCGGUAGUC
rnacentral:rRNA from 1 species